AACCGAAUAAUAAACACAAGCUGUAUGUCAUUUUUGAUGUAGCAUGCAUUCCAUUUUUAUCCAAAGCAUAAUAUGAACUCAUAAACAAAGCUUUGGAUAUCAUAUCAAUAAACAUAGAGGGCGCUGUGGGACCACAUACAUAAUGUGAUUCAUCCAUUUCUGGAUGACCACCAAGCAUAAGUCUCCCACGUCUGGGAGCUCCAUCCACCCACGUCUGAGUGAAGUCAAUGGGGCCGGCAGAGCAAUCGCGGGCUCUAAGCAUAACUCCCUUUACCAUUUCUGGCAAAGGUUCACAAUAUCCCACAAGACACCAGAGUACAAAAGGG
rnacentral:lncRNA from 1 species